rnacentral:misc_RNA from 1 species
GCGUCGCCGCGCGGGAGAGGCAAGACUUGAAUGCAUGCUGCAUGUUAAAUAUUAUGGCAAACAACGGGGCCGACUCCGCACAGGCUCACACAAUGGAGCGCAGCACUAUCACCGCUGGCGUGCAUCUGCCUACAUGUUUGUCUAUGGUCGGAUGCGGCUGUGCAUUUCACUUUCUAUUCUGACUAGAAAAAUAAUGCCCUUGAUGCUGCCGGCCACCCCACCGCGGGUGCCUGGGUGCGGCACCCAACGCUGUGCGGAAGCCAAGCGCCCACAUCCAGCGCUUCGUGUGGUGGGCCUCGGACUCUUGGUGUCGGCGGACAGGUCUGGGCUGGCGGUGUGCCGAAGAGACGUGCGGCCUUGAUGGUCGCGUUGGGGCCCGCUCGCUACGAAUCGUGCCGACGGCUCAACACGUGUGCGCAACGGCGUGCAGCGGGCGCGAGUCUCUGUGCGGCGCCGGUGGCGCCGCACGUAUCCGAGGAAGGACGAGAAUGCAGGGCGCAUGACCCGACUCGACGGCAGACGGCUCGUGCUGGACGACGAGGAUUUAGCGGUGGCGCAGCAGAGGCAGGUGGGCUGCGGCUGCGUGCGCGUAUUCGCUGAGCUGCUCGCGAUAGAAGGACGUGCUGGCGCGCGAGAAAGAGCGAUGUGUAUGUGCAUGCUCGUGUAUGCCGCGCAUUGCGGAGGGUGCGCCAUAUUGUGUCCAGUGCGGCAGGGCUGGAAGAGGAAGGUGAGGAUGUGAUCCCAGGCAAGGCGCUGCGUGUGCGGGAGCCACCCACGUGGCGUACCCGAUGCGGGCCACCCACUCAGACGCAUGCGGAAGGCGUGACGGUUCUCAUUUUUUUUGUGUCUCAUUGACGUUGCCUCUGUGUGGGUCUUUUUUUUUGUGCAUGACUUCUAUACAUCGUUUCUUUUCUUUCAGCGCUGCCUAUGUGUAUAGAUGUGCUCUUUACUUUCGCGCUGGUGGUUGCAGACACUCGAGUUGCGUUCCGCUCUCGCGUUUUGGAGGAGGUGGACCGGGCGACUCUACAAUAAAUUUUGGUCCACAACCGCAGUGUCUGCAUGAAUCUCCGUUCCCACCUCUUUUCUACC